rnacentral:rRNA from 1 species
GACGAACGCUGGCGGCGUGCUUAACACAUGCAAGUCGAGCGGUAAGGCCCUUUCGGGGGUACACGAGCGGCGAACGGGUGAGUAACACGUGGGUGACCUGCCCUUAGCUCUGGGAUAAGCCUGGGAAACUGGGUCUAAUACCGGAUAUGACUCCAUGACGCAUGUUGUGGGGUGGAAAGCCUUGUGCGGCUAGGGAUGGGCCCGCGGCCUAUCAGCUUGUUGGUGGGGUGAUGGCCUACCAAGGCGACGACGGGUAGCCGGCCUGAGAGGGCGACCGGCCACACUGGGACUGAGACACGGCCCAGACUCCUACGGGAGGCAGCAGUGGGAAUCUUGCGCAAUGGGCGAAAGCCUGACGCAGCGACGCCGCGUGAGGGAUGACGGCCCUCGGGUUGU